GCAUUUAUGCUGUAAGCACUUAAUUAAGUUGUUUAUCCAAAAUAAAUAGGAAUAUAUGAUUUGUAAUUCUGAAGUAGCAAUACAAUACAGUCUAUACGGAUGGUCUAAAUCUAUAUAAUCAAUCACACACAAAAUGCAUAACAUGUUAAUGAUCUUGAUUCUUUUUUCAGUUGCGUCUAAGAAUAUAUAUAAUUUCAAAGACAAGAUUGCGUGUUUUGCAUAGCUUAUGUUUUAAAAGGUAACAGAAGUACGAUAGUGAAAGUAUUUUCAUCCAAGACGAAGAUGAAUGCAAGUUCCGUGAUCCAGAAAGACACCAUUAGAACUAUGUACCGUGAUUACAAUGAAUCUGAGAAUACACCAAAAGACAUAAUAGAUUACCUGACUGCAACCAUCUAUUCCAGAAACUUGAACUUUCCUUCCCUGGACUCCAAGUGAGUCU
rnacentral:lncRNA from 1 species